rnacentral:rRNA from 1 species
CCUACGGGAGGCAGCAGUGGGGAAUUUUGGACAAUGGACGAAAGUCUGAUCCAGCCAUUCCGCGCGCAGGACGAAGGCCUUCGGGUUGUAAACUGCUUUUGUACGGAACGAAAAAGCCUUGGCUAAUACCCGGGGUCCAUGACGGUACCGUAAGAAUAAGCACCGGCUAACUACGUGCCAGCAGCCGCGGUAAUACGUAGGGUGCGAGCGUUAAUCGGAAUUACUGGGCGUAAAGCGUGCGCAGGCGGUUUUGUAAGACAGAGGUGAAAUCCCCGGGCUCAACCUGGGAACUGCCUUUGUGACUGCAAGGCUAGAGUGCGGCAGAGGGGGAUGGAAUUCCGCGUGUAGCAGUGAAAUGCGUAGAUAUGCGGAGGAACACCGAUGGCGAAGGCAAUCCCCUGGGCCUGCACUGACGCUCAUGCACGAAAGCGUGGGGAGCAAACAGGAUUAGAUACCCUGGUAGUCCACGCCCUAAACGAUGUCAACUGGUUGUUGGGUCUUUGCUGACUCAGUAACGAAGCUAACGCGUGAAGUUGACCGCCUGGGGAGUACGGCCGCAAGGUUGAAACUUAAAGGAAUUGACGGCUGAGACGUGCGAGGCGACGACGAGGGAGAGG